GAUGAAGAACGUAGCGAAAUGCGAUACUUGGUGUGAAUUGCAGAAUCCCGUGAACCAUCGAGUCUUUGAACGCAAGUUGCUCCCGAAGCCAUUAGGCCGAGGGCACGCCUGCCUGGGCGUCACACGUCGUUGCCCCCCCCAUCUACUCCUUCGGGAUUGCGGGGGGCGGAUGAUGGCCUCCCGUGCGCCUCGCCGCGCGGUUGGCAUAAAUGCCAAGUCCUCGGCGACGCACGCCACGACAAUCGGUGGUUGCGAAACCUCGGUUGCCCGUCGUGUGCGGUCGUCGCGCAUCGAGGGCUCGAAAAAAUUGCCGAGUUCCGGCUCGGCUUUCAACGCGACCCCAGGUCAGGCGGGGUUACCCGCUGAAUUUAAGCAUAUCAAUAAGCGGAGGA
rnacentral:misc_RNA from 1 species